CCUCCUCGGCCUGCUGCGGGGUGAUGUAGUGGAUGUGAGUGUCCACGCCACCCGCGGUGACGAUCCGGUGUUGCCCCGCGAUCACCUCCGUGCCGGGGCCGAUGAGCAUGUCCACGCCAUCUUGGGUGUGGGGGUUUCCCGCUUUUCCGACGCCAGCAAUGCGGCCAUCCUUAAUCCCCACAUCGGCCUUGAUGAUGCCCAGGAUCGGGUCGGCCACGAUGGCUCCGACGAUGACGGUAUCCAGUGGAUCGGUUGCCGUUGGGUCCUGGGCCAUGCCGUCGCGCACG
rfam:Corynebacterium falsenii DSM 44353 strain BL 8171, complete genome.